GCCGGGAGUCGGGCGGACGAGGUCGUCGCCAACCUGGUCAGGUCCUGACGGAAGCAGCCACAGUGAUUUUGCCGCGGGUCGUUCCGGCUCCCACCUUC
rfam:Sphingobium sp. GW456-12-10-14-TSB1 unitig_0.quiver.pilon, whole genome shotgun sequence.